rnacentral:rRNA from 1 species
GGACCCGCACAAGCGGUGGAGUAUGUGGUUUAAUUCGAUGCAACGCGAAAAACCUUACCAAGGUUUGAAAUCAUUCUAAAACUCUUUGAAAGAAGAGCCUCCUUCGGGAUAGAAUGACAGGUGGUGCAUGGCUGUCGUCAGCUCGUGUUGUGAAAUGUCAAGUUAAGUCUUGUAACGAGCGCAACCCAUGUCUUUUGUUGCUGUUUACAGUGCUUAAAAGAGACUGCCGCUCUACAGCGGAGGAAGGUGUGGAUGAUGUCAAGUCAGCAUGCCCCUUAUAUCUUGGGCUACACACGUACUACAAUGGUAGGGACAAUGAGUCGCAAACCUGCGAAGGCUAGCCAAUCUCAAAACCCUAUCUCAGUUCGGAUUGUACUCUGCAACUCGAGUGCAUGAAGGUGGAAUCGCUAGUAA